rnacentral:rRNA from 1 species
GUACACGCUGUGACUAGCAUAUCAAUAAGCGGAGGAAAAGAAACUAACAAGGAUUCCCCUAGUAACGGCGAGUGAAGCGGGAAGAGCUCAAAUUUGAAAUCUUAAAGGGUUUCCCUUUACGAAUUGUAGUUUAAAGAAGUGUUUUCUGUUGAGGUUUUGGUAAAAGUUCUUUGGAAUAGGACAUCAUAGAGGGUGAGAAUCCCGUAUUUGACCUUUACUUUCAACCUUGUGAUACACUUUCAAAGAGUCGGAUUGUUUGGGAAUGCAGUCCAAAAUGGGUGGUAAAUUUCAUCUAAAGCUAAAUAUUGGCGAGAGACCGAUAGCGAACAAGUACCGUGAGGGAAAGAUGAAAAGAACUUUGAAAAGAGAGUUAAUCAGUACGUGAAAUUGUCAAAAGGGAAGCGUUUGACACCAGUGUUGUUUUUCUGAAAAUCAAUUAAAGAACUGUUUAUGCUAAGCUGUUUAGACUUCAUCAGCUAAUCUGUUUAGUUUUGAGCUUUUCUUUAAUGCACUCUUCAGUUAACAAGUCAACAUCAAUUUCUUUUGCUGUAAAAAAGCUUGAGGAAGGUGGCUUGAGAUUCGUCUUAAGUGUUUAUAGCCUCUUGCCUAUGCAGUCGGAGAGAUUGAGGUCUGCAGCGUAGAUCCUUCGGGGCUAAAUGCAUUUGUGCUAAGUUAUAGCAUUUUAUAGACAACUUGUUGACUAUGAUUUGUCUUGUAGCUUACUCGCUUAUGUUAUUUUACCUACGCUUAGGAUGUUGAAGUCAUCGUAUCGCGC